GAUUACGUUAACCUUAAUUACCCCUAUCAACACAUAUUUCUGAAAAAUAAUUCCAGUGGUCUUGGACGAGUUCCCGAAAUGGCUGAAACGUUCCAUGGACCGGAUAAAAGACACUAACACGCACCAAAACACCAAGUUGAAGAGGAUCACCAACGAAAAAAGGAGAAUCGCCUGUCAGUGUGCCAGGGCAGCAACGCAGCAACAACAAGAAGGAAAAGAAGAAAAACAAUUCCAAAGAAGAUGAUCUCACUUACGGCACGCGGGAUUGCGACAUUGCCAUGGUGGACAGGAUCAAGGCCGGAACAUUAGACAUGGAUUACUUCUGUCUCGGCUGUCAUGUGGAAGCUAUGGGCCCGUGUAUAUGGAAUUGGAACAUCCGCUCUUCUUUGAAAGUCUGUGCAAUCUGGUGCAAUCGCGAAUGCAAGGUGAGUUGCGUCAUCUGUGAUUCCACGGGAGAUUAUCUGCUGGUCUUCGCGUCGUCGUACUCCACGACAACUUGGGAGCCGUCAACCAUAGGCUACGCGCUUAUAAUUUACUGCGACUUGAAUUGGAUCAGUAUUGGGCCUAUGAACGAUGGAACGGAGUUUAUACGAACUCAACGGCGUCGAAUUCGCAGUCCCAAAAACGCAAACCAAAUGAAGGACGAAGAGUGGGCGUUAAUUUUUGUAUAUUUAUACUAUAUAUUUUUGUAUAGUGUCUCGUUCAUUUAUUUGUCUCCACUCGCCUCUUGCCUCCCAGCCAGCAAGAAAUUUGAUCCGACGCGUCACCAACCUGCCGGAAGGAAAGUGGAUACUGGAUAGAAGCCAGUUUUCUGAAGGAGGUAUACGUUCUCGAGUUUCUGUAAAAUAUUAUUAUUUACAAUGAAACUGCUGAGUUUCUCCGGAAGACAAAAAAAAAAAAAGAAAAAUGUAUAGUGGGAUAAACUAAGGAGAGAUGCUGGAGAGAGUGAUGGUAUGCCAUGUGACCUCUGUUGUAGAUGCUUCUUACUCUUCUUCUUCUUUUCUUUAAUCUCUCCUUCUUGUCAUACAUAACAUGCCCCUCAAA